rnacentral:tRNA from 2 species
UGCCCCGUGAUCUAAACGGCAGCAUGACUGAUUCUGGAUCAGUUCAGCCUUGGUUCGAAUCCAGGCGGGGCAGCCA